CCAGAUCCUCCUCCCGCAGAGCUUGUGGGAACUCCACCUGUGUGGCCUCCCUUCACAGGACAUCCCCCAGAAAGACUACCCCAUGUGGCUCCGCCUCCUGGUCCCCUGUAACCGUGUGGCUCCACCUCUUGUGCCUGCCUCUUAUGGAUUUGCACUUGCUCAUAGGCGGUGGUGAAAGCACUCUGGCUUCACAGCACAUCUUGUCUCUUUAAAGAAUAGUAUGUCAUCUGAGAUGAGCAGCAAACAUGCUGUUUCCUUUGGCUUCCCUUUAGUUUUAUAACUGAUAAAUUCAAUGAGCAGUAAAAGAUGAACAAAUGUUGCUUAAUUACUGAAAUAUCAGCUUUAAUAUCAUAUAUAAGUUUUCAGCAGGUUUUUUUUUCUUUACUUUUAUAACUAAUGUAAGAGUUGAGCAACGAAAACAGAAUGUCCACUGCAUCUAUUAAUAGUAGGACUGACGGUAAACUCCUCUCAUCUUGUAUGAGGACGUAUUUUUCCUGCUUGGGUCUCUCUUAGGUUUUAGCUUCUAUCACAUCCUACCAGCCUAAUGCAAUUAUAUUUGGUAUUGACUGCAGACACAGAAUUCUCUUGUUGAAUGCCCGUUUUCUGAGUGAAUGAAUGCAUUUGAGAUUUAACUGGAGUGACGUCUUAGCAAAGCAUGAGUCUGUUACAAUAACAGACGAGAAAACAUAUCAUUGCCAUCCUUGCUUCAAAAUAGCUCACACAGGUAAUUCACAAAACAUAUUUCACAUCUUGUUUUAAAAAAAUUCCUACCUUCGACCCUUUGUAAUUAUCUUGCACGUUAAGCUUCCUUGAACAGCCUCUCCAGUAGAGUGGUAAGAAAGCAGCUCUGGGCCACACGACCUCAGACAGGAUUUCCUUCUCUCUUACUAAGACACUCCUUGAAUUUCUCUCCUUGGGGACAAUUAGGGAUGAACCUCCAGGAGCCACAUACCCUGCUUUGGAUCAUCUGAAACGCAGGCACCGAAGUGCACCCAUUAGAAGAGCCAAAUGAGAAAGUCACACAAUACAGGUGUUGGGUAAGACCCAGAGCAGCUACAACUUCUGAACGCCGUUGGAGGGUAGAGUUUGCUAAAACCUUUGGAAGUAUCUUGGCGGUAUCUACUAAUGCUGAGCAGACCCGUAACCUCUGCCCCAUCAAUUCCACUCCUAGAUACCCAACAGAAAUGAACACAGAAGUGUGCCAGGAGACAUGUGGCAGUAUUCACAGUCUUGUAAUUGCAAAAUAAGAGACACAACACCAGUAUCUGCCAAGGGCAGAAUGAACAAACUUGAUGUGGCACUCUCUGACAAUGAGCUACGCAGCCAAGGAGAAAAAAGCAACUACACAAACAGCAUGGACAAAUCCUGGACACACAACUUUGAGCAAAGGAAACCAGACACGUGAGAGUGCACACUGCAUGAUUCCACCAUGCAAGACUCAAAACCAGGCAAAACUAAUCCAUGGUGUUAGCUCCACGGAUUACUGCAUCCCAGAGGGAGGUACAAGGUCGGGGGAGUGGGGGCAUUAUCCUGAUCUGCGUGCUGGUUACAAAGGGGAGUUUGGGUUAUGAAAUUCAAAAGGUUGCACACCUUUGAUCUGUGCAUGUUUCUAUGUUAUAUGUGACUUGAAAAUUCCUUGAAAAAUUCUAGGAAACCUGUUCCUUUUGAGAAAAGCUGCCUAGGUGGGACAAAAUCCCCAGUCAUGAAUUCAAGAUUUCAGAAGGGGGUCAUGCAUGAGGCAAGCAGAGUGUAUGAACAGGGGCACACUGAGCAGGCCAGCAGGAUGUGGUCCAGCCAGUUACACAAUCCAGGGUCUGACCAGCCCAGCAACUCUAUGAAGACCCUGGCGUGUCCCUGUAUUAACGGGUUAGAUGCGGGAGGGAAGGGCACACGGGAAGUUGUCCAUGUAACCAACAGAUCUGCUGUAAGUGAAUCACCAUGUCCUGACAGCAGCACCCUAAGUGUCUGCAGGGAACCCUGCUGUCCCGGCAGCCCCCAUGCAGGUGGCUGAUGGGACCCCAACAGUCCCCACCUUCAAGAAGCCUUCCAGGAAACCCUUGAGAUUUAGAGAUCUGUGAGUCACUCUUCCAUCCUGUGAUUGAUUAUGGAAUCUAUUUUUUAAAGAUAACUAAAAUCUUAGGUAAAGAGAAAUAUAAUUUUCUUAAAUGUGAUACAGAAAAAUGCAUAUUUGUUAAAACAAUUCAUAAAGAUAGCAACCACUGAUUGACUACUUUGCUAUGGGAAUGUGUGUGCUUCUAUGAUAAUGCUGGUAAGAUCUUUAUUCAGAAGCUGAUGGUGGGGUUAUAACAGAUCAUGCCUGUAAAAUGCCUUACAUACUUGUAUCUAAGUAGAGUCUUGGUGAUAUUUUAACUUAUGGUAUGUUUUGAAAUCAUCUUAACUUUUCAUGUGAACUUAAUAAUAAAUAAAAGGCUACAAUGUUUCAUUAUUUCUACGCAACUUCUUUCUCUCAAAAGCUAGUAUUUACAGAGGUUAAAAUAAUAUAGUCCAUUUUUUUGGUAAUGUCAGGGAAAAGGAACCCACAAGCACAUACACUAAUACUUUAAGUUUUAUUUGACAUGUUUACUAUAGAAGAGAAUGAAUUCUCCAAUCAUAUCAAAGCUGAUGGUUAUUUGUUAUUAAAAAAUUAGAAAUGUAGAUUUCUUAAAAUAGUAUUUUUUAAAAAACUGCUAAUGCCAAUAUUAACAAAGUAUUAAAUAAGUUAUUGCACAGAUAAAAAAUUGAGUGCUCUAACAAUUAAACAUAUUUUUAAAACAAGAAUGGCAUGGAAAAAUCUCAGGAUCUAUGUUAAUGAGUAAAAACAUGAUACCUACUAAUAUUUUAAUAAUGACUGUCUCUUGAUGGCAAGAUUAUAUGAGGUUUUUAUUUACUAGAGCAUGCUUUUCUGUAUUUUUCUAAUAUUCCUGAAUGACCAUUUAAAAUCAAAGAGAAGGUAUCAAGUGUGGAGAAAAAGGAAAGAAGCCAUUAGUAGUAUCUUUUUGGAGCAGAAUUUCCCACCCUGGCUGCCUAUUAGAGAACCUAGGAGGUUUUAAACCCCUGCGGCCAAGUCGACACCCAGACCCAGGAAAUCAGAAUGUGGGGCGGGACCUGGGCAGUCAGUGUUCAUUCAGAGCUCCCAGGUAGCCCCAGGGCGGCUGCGGUAAGGCACUGGCAGGCUUUCUAGAGGUCGGUGGGCAUGUGGGCGGAACUGGAACUCCCAUCACAAAAUUCCAGGAGCUCAAACACAGCCCUGCCUUUUAUCAGGUUGCCUUUGGGCUCUUGUCAAAGCUAAAUUAUUCAGGGAUUUUUAUCAGAAGUGGAGUUCUGUGAACUUACAGGGCAAGAAAGCAGAGCAAAAGCUGGAUUUCUGAGCUACAGUUUAGGAUCAAUAGUGACCCUAAUGGAAGCUUUCAGUGAAUUUCUCCUUAUUGGAUCCUUAUUAGAUGAACUCCACUGGAAAAAUGUGGACAGCAGCUUAUUUCCUUGUCCACAGGGCAAAACCAUAAUGUUUAUACGCAUCAAAGACUUCCCACACUUCCAGAGGAAAAAGAAAGCAGAACUUCCCCUCAAACCACAGGCAGGGCAGGGGUGGCCAGGUGUUCUCAGCUGUCUGUGCACCUGUGAAGCAAGAGGGACUCUGCCUGGGUGCUGCGUGAUUUGCUUAGGAAUUUUUAAAAUGGGAUUAACAUACACUGAAUGCUCACUAUACACCAGGCAUCACGACCUUGAGACAGACUUAACAGUACUAUCGGCACUGUGUCAUCCUUAGUCAGAAUGAUCAGGGAAUGAGUUGUUCACCAAACUUCCUAUGUAGCUGGAGGCUGAGUAACAAGCUCUCUUUCCGACUUGCCUUAGGAAGAACUUUCUGAAGGAAUGGGGACCCGGUGCUGCAGCCAGACAGUUCCGUUCGGGCCGGGCUUCCAGAGUCACCAUGAUAAAAUCGGUACCUGUGGCAGAAGACCAAGCUGGAAUCGGGGAUUUGUGGACACUGUGACUGCACAGCUCUGUGGUGUGCAAAGUGCCCAGGAUGGAAGGUCAGGAGGUGGGCACUGAUGUCACCAAGUGCCUUAUGACCAUGGCUGGUCACAGCAACUGCAGAGCCUGCACAGGGACUGUCAAGAUAUCCCACUUCAAACAGGUCAUUACCCAUUGUUUACUUUUCAACUCUAAUAACACGCCUGAAAGCAUGUCAGAAACUCCUCCCUGUCCCCCACCACCGCCCUUCCCGGGCAGCUACUGACGCACAGGGACAGCCAACUCUCUGAUGUGGGCCUGCUCUAGCCCUUCCUCCAUGUCCCCCGGCUGCCAGAAAGCCCCCCGGGGAGCCCCACAGGCCUCCUUCUAGGCCAUGUCUAGUCGAUGCUAAAGCCCUUGAUUAGAAGUGACAACCUCCAGCUAAUCAUCUGUUGUUCUCACCCCAAAUCAUGGACCUGAGCAGUGGCCCCCUCCCACCAGCCGCCUCAGCCACCCGGAGGUUGUGCCCUCUCAGCUGGCCGGGAUUCUGCCCCCCGCCAUGGCGUGUGGGGCACCGAUGUCUCCGACUGCUGCAUUCGGACCAUGGAGUGCCGGGGAGAGGGGAGAGCACUGGGCUGCAGCGGCCAGAGCAUCGUGACAGAAUCACCCUUGAAUAGCACUGGUACCAGCGUGAGUGGCUGUGGGCAUAGAAGCGUUGAAAGCCGUCCUUUUGUGGAGGUUUUCUCGUGCUACCUUGGGGAGUCUGCUAUUCAGCACAGGCUGAAUUCUGGUCACUGUGCCGGAGGUUUCCAACGUGAGGAGGGUGCAAAGGCAGCCCUGCGUGUUGGGAAGGCCUCUGCUGUCCUGCUGCCUGCGUGUCGUGGGCACUGAUCGGCUGAGGGUGUUCAGGUGGGCCGGCGUCCAGGGCUGCUGCCGGCCACACCUGGAGGGGCAGUCCGCUCUGACGGCACUCAGCGAGAUCUCGAGCUCACCCCUCCAGCUCUCGCGGUUCUCGCGCGCCCACCCUGACAUCAGGUUAAAAGAGAGAGCGUGCACGGCUGGUUUAGCAUGAUGCCUGACACAGAGUGACAAAUAAUCAGGGGUACCAAUUUCACUCCUUCCUGUUCUAAAAACGUUUCCUUUUAUUGGCACUGUCCAAGUCCUCCAAAAUAUGGCAUUUAUAUGGUUUUUACCUGGGAGUCUGCUAGUACAAAAGGCCAGGGCUUUUACAGAAGAGCUCUCUAACAAAGGAGUCCAAAAUGUUUCUCAGGUUAACACUUGUCUAUUUUGAUCUUAUCUUAAUUCACCUUAUGUAACUGAACUCAUUCACUCCGGAGGUAAAGCCAGCUCACUUACACUUCAAAUCAAGGAAUUUGCUUCUAUGGGAUUUUAGUCAUUCUGAGUAGUAACAAUAUAUAAUGAUUUUUUAGACAUUUUGGGCAAUUUUAAACCUACUAACACAGUCAUUGCUGAAUUUUACUCAGGAAGGCUGGUAGGUUCUGAUCGGAGCCUAUCAGAAUCCAUGAAUAACAACCAGCUCAGGAAACUGAAAUCAAAGUUUAAUAAAAAAAAAAGGUGUGAAGGUUAAAAAAAAAGAAAUCCAGCAAGCAAGCAAGAUGAAACCUGCCUAGUUGGGCAGCUGCUCUGAAACCGGUUACUGCACAUUGCAAAUCAUACCCUGGUUGAUUGAGCCCCAAACCACAAAAUGUCUAAAGAAUGAAGCAAAAACACUAGGGUGCACUUUGCUAUAAGAUGUGAAUCAGUUAGAGUGAGAGGUUGCAGCAGGGCCAGCCCAGGAGAGCGCAUACCGCUUGAUGCCUAUCCCAGCUGUCAGGGCUUCUUGGGAAGAGAGCAGUCAGCUGUCUGCUAGCAUUCAGUGACUCCAAAUCCAAUUUCUAUGCUUUCUGAAUCAGUUCCUGGGAUAUAAAUGGAAGGGGGAAAAGCAACAAUGAUGCUUCCAAGAAUAAAAGCGGUUGUAAGUCUGGAAAACCCCCAAAACUCCACUCGUUGGGAGGAAGCUUUUCUUAAGGUACUUGAAUCCCUUUCAUUUCUGCAUAGGGUCAAUGGAAAAUGAAAUCACUCCCUUCUUGGCUUCAAAAUGCUACUUCACACCUGGGCCCGAGAUCUGCCAGGGGCCAGCUGGUCAUUGUGCAGAGUCUGGUGGCUGAGGGCCAGAAAGAGGCAGGAGAAUGGAGAACAGGGUUAAAACUGGUCACAAAUAAAGUCUGAAAAGCAGUAUUUGAAAUUCCACUUCUGGAUAUAAAUGGGAAGCAGCAUGGAAACCGAGAAAUUACAGGAAAGAUAGCUGUCUGAGUUCUGGAUUCUGUUCAUGCAGGAAUAGUGUCUUAUGAAUUUCUUGGUUAUGGACGCAUGUUACUGAGCUAUAAAUAGUUUAAUAAUCUUAAAACAUUUAAGAUUUAAAACAAAGGCCCUAGAUCAUUGCCGUCGGUGUCAAUGGAAUCCUUGGGUUGUGCCCAGCACCAGCCUGCCCUUCCCCAUGCACCACGGUGCAGGCCAGGCAGGCUUAGCUGCACCAAACCCAGAUGCGACUUCUUGUUUUAUUUUCUGUGAUUAGUGGUGAUCAGCUCACAGAGGCACCCACCUCUAUAGAGACCCCUUCCUCUCACUCGGGCUACAUUCUUAGAAACGUUUAAAACCUCUCUCUCUUUGGAAAUUCUGGUAAGGUUCAUGUGAAACUUUUCCCUAACCCUUUUCCCAAUAGAAUUUUAUAAGGAUAAUGAAUAUCUCCUAAUAAUAUAUGUUUAUAUUAUUACAUCUUUCUAUCUUUGUACAGCUUCGUGUGACUGGGUGACCUGGUGUGGGGCGGCAGCCUGCACAGCCAGCCCUGGAACGGGCCCGGGUUUCCUCUCCGUCUGAAGCUCACCGAGAACCAUUUGGUACUCAUUUAAAAAGAAAACGGUUUUAUAGGUACAUUUUUGUUGGACUAUCAAACAGACUCUUUGUCAUGCAAAUAAACCUAUGUUCACAGUUCUAGGCACAACGUAUUCAUAGAAUCUGUCCUUUGAGACAAAAGUUUAUAUCUAAAUCAGGAGGAAGUAUCACUUUAAAGUCUGAAAAGGAAUUAAGCCUUCAAGCAAAGGUGGUAUUCUGACUAACAGUGACUCAUGUGGGAAAGAGAGGAAGGCUUUGAAUUGUUGCUUCAGGACCUGUCUUGUCUUGCUUUCUGCUUGGUCUCUGGCACUAGGAUCACCUGCAAGUAGUCAGGCAGCAAACUGUGCCUGUGCCUCAGACAGGCCCUUGCCUUUCUGAAGUUGGCCAGGAGGCCGCGUCUCCAGGGUGGAUCAUCACAAAGUCACUGGUACCUGGGAACGCUGGUAUCUAGAGGAAGAUCUUUGCUUCCUGUGGAUAUUCCUUAUCAUUUUCCCAACAAGAAUGUAAGCAUCCCAGUUUACCUCCAGCAAAUUUGACACUUGGGAAGAAUAUGAGUCCUUGUGGAUUCCUUUUGUUAGGAUCACAUCAAUACACUUUAUGUGUAAAGAGACUUUAAAUGACUUUGCAGAUCCCGUAAUUUAAUCAUCUGUGCACAUUAAUAUAUUCCCUUUCUAACUUCCAAGGCUGCAGGAUUUACCACCUAAUAAGGCAGUUUGCUCUUCAUCUGGGCAUCUGCUGCUGCUUCUAUUAAAUGCUGCCCUGGUCCCUCCUCCCUUCCCUCACCUAGCACAUCACCCUAUUUUUUUUUUCAAUGAGCAUUGAGCGUUAUCAGAAAUUUCCUUGUUUUUUAGAAGGUUUAACUCCGCAUUUUGUGUUUUCCCCACUAAAAUGGAAGCUCCAUGACAGCAGUUUGCCAGGCCUGUGUUCCUGCUGCCAAGCAGGGCCCAGUUAAUGUCAGGCACUCGGUAUGUUUGGUGAGUUCAAAUGAUCUUGAGCCUAAGGAAGCUGUACUUUAAGUCAACUUUUGGUACUGUUUCACUGCCACCCAUUCAUUGGCCAGUAUUCUGCCCCCUGAGGUCCUAUGGAAUAAAUCGAGUCCUGCUUUCGAGUGACAGCUCUUUGAAAAUUUGAGGGUGGCUAUCAUAUCUGCAACCCCACCCUCCACUGGGGCUAGGGAAACCUCUGCCCUCUUAGCUAUUAGCCACGGGUCCUGGACUGGCUACUUCGUUUCAAUUUUACUGCAUUCUCUCACUUUCUUAAAACGCAGCCCUUAAAACUCUCACAAAACUUUGGCCAGAGAUUCACUUCCAGAAAUUAAUUAUCCAACAGAGACUUGCCCAAGUGCAUAAAAUGUGUGAACAGGGAUGCCACUGCAGCUUUCUAUAGACAUAACCCAAUAUCCAAGAAAGGGGGACCGGACAGCCAUGCACGGCCUCCAUGAGCUGGCAGUCAACCACAGCUGCUGGCCUGUCCUUCAUGUCCCUGGGCCUGCACUACACAGAGGAGUUUGCGUGUGGCCACGCCUAUCAUGCAUGGCUUUUCUAGGCUCCUACAUGAAAAACAGGCUAGCUCAGGUUAGAGAACCCGCAUUUGGAAUGAGUCAUGGUGCAGCUAAGAAUCACCUUUAAGAAGUUCUGCCAACUUAAAAAGAAUCAAACUUUUGUUUUGACUAUUUUUCAAGGAUAAAAACCAAAGAGGAAAUACAGAUCGAAGAGAGCCAGUAGAAAGAUUUCAUUUAUACAGCAGCAGAGUUUAUGAGUUGUUCCUGUUUAUUGACAUUUCAAGGCAGAGUAUAACAUAAGUAUAACUACUUAUAUGGAUUUUAAAUAUUUUUCUUAGUUUGCAAACCAUGUAUUUCACAAGUAAGGCUCUCUUUUCCACAGUUUGUUUCAGAUAAUGGGGGAAUGUACAGUAAGUGAGCAAAUGCUCUCUAGAUAAUGUACAGGUGCUUGUCAAAAAUCAUCUUCCAUGACUGGUUAGCCAGAGAUGGGUAAGAUUCCUCAAGGGAGGAAAAACCUAAGACAAGCACAGUCGCAGGGGGGCCAUCAGGUGAGAAAUGGGGAUCAACAGAGGUGAGGCUUAGAACCUCUUCCCCCCUGUUCUGAGAGAAAUCUUCUGCAUACGUGGAUGUUUUAUUGCCCUUGUCUAGCUUGGAUUAACACAUAAUCUACAGGCACACACCUGAUCAUCUACAUUUGCUCUCUUACAACACUAAACUAAGUUUUCUACCUUUACCUUACAUCUACCUACCACUUCAGCAUUUUAUUAAAAAAUAAUAAUAAUAAUAAUAAUAAAGGGAGAAAUGUGGGAUCCACAUGUAAAUCAAGUAUAAAAAUCAAACGAAUAUUCAUAUUUGACCUGAUUGUUUAUAGUUCAUAAUGUGUGAUCAAAACCGAAAGUUUCUGUGAUGACUGCCCUUGCACUGUUCACCAUGUAAGAACUUAUUCACUAUGUAAGAAUUUGUUCACCAUGUAAGAACUUGUUCGUUAUACUUCAGAAGAUUGGAGACUGUUGAGAAUUAGGCUUGGGGUUGAUUAAUGAUUGUGCAUUGAGUCCCCUAUACAGAAUUUUAUUGUUGUUAACAACCAUUUGAUCAAUAAAUAUAAGAUAUGCCCUCUAAAAAAAAAAAAAAAAGAAAGGCAAAAGCAAUGAUCAGAUUCCCUGAAGAGUAAGUGAUAAACUGAUGGACA